UACGUAGGGGGCAAGCGUUAUCCGGAUUUACUGGGUGUAAAGGGAGCGUAGACGGCAAUACAAGUCGGAAGUGAAAUACCCGGGCUCAACCUGGGAACUGCUUUGGAAACUGUGUGGCUGGAGUGCUGGAGAGGUAAGCGGAAUUCCUAGUGUAGCGGUGAAAUGCGUAGAUAUUAGGAGGAACACCAGUGGCGAAGGCGGCUUACUGGACAGUAACGGACGUUGAGGCUCGAAAGCGUGGGGAGCAAACAGG
rnacentral:rRNA from 1 species